GGGAAUGUGACUCAGGGGUAGAGUGCUUGCCUUGCAUGCAUGAGGCCCUGAGUUCGAUUCCUCAGCACCA
rnacentral:tRNA from 1 species